UGGGAAUAUUGGACAAUGGGCGCAAGCCUGAUCCAGCCAUGCCGCGUGAGUGAUGAAGGCCCUAGGGUUGUAAAGCUCUUUCGCCAGGGACGAUAAUGACGGUACCUGGAUAAGAAGCCCCGGCUAACUUCGUGCCAGCAGCCGCGGUAAUACGAAGGGGGCUAGCGUUGUUCGGAAUCACUGGGCGUAAAGCGCACGUAGGCGGAUCUUUAAGUCAGGGGUGAAAUCCCGAGGCUCAACCUCGGAACUGCCUUUGAUACUGGAGGUCUCGAGUCCGGGAGAGGUGAGUGGAACUGCGAGUGUAGAGGUGAAAUUCGUAGAUAUUCGCAAGAACACCAGUGGCGAAGGCGGCUCACUGGCCCGGUACUGACGCUGAGGUGCGAAAGCGUGGGGAGCAAAACAGGAUUAGAUACCCUGGUAGUCCACGCCGUAAACUAUGGAUGCUAGCCGUUGGGCAGCUUGCUGUUCAGUGGCGCAGCUAACGCUUUAAGCAUCCCGCCUGGGGAGUACGGUCGCAAGAUUAAAA
rnacentral:rRNA from 1 species